rnacentral:rRNA from 1 species
UACGGAGGAGGCAAGCGUUAUCCGGAAUUAUUGGGCGUAAAGCGUCCGUAGGUGGCUCUUCAAGUCUGCUGUCAAAGAGUGGGGCUUAACUCCAGAAAGGCAGUGGAAACUGAAAGGCUAGAGUCCGGAAGAGGAGAGUGGAAUUCCUGGUGUAGCGGUGAAAUGCGCAGAUAUCAGGAAGAACACCCGUGGCAAAGGCGGCUCUCUGGGACGGUACUGACGCUGAGACGCGAAAGCGUGGGGAGCGAACAGG